rnacentral:rRNA from 1 species
GAUGAACGCUGGCGGCGUGCCUAAUACAUGCAAGUCGAGCGAAGCGGGGACGGGUGAGUAACACGUGGAUAACCUCCUAUAAGACUGGGAGAACUUCGGGCAACCGGAGCUAAACCGGAUAAUUAUAGAUGGAUCCGACAUGCAUUAGCUAGUUGGUAAGGUAACGGCUUACCAAGGCAACGAUGCAUAGCCGACCUGAGUGGGUGGUCUGCCACACUGUAACUGAGACACGGUCCAGACUCCUCCGGGCGGCAGCAGUAGGGAGUCUUCUGCAAUGGGCCGAAGCCUAGUGUAGCAACGCCGCGUGUGUGAUGAAGGUCUGCGGAUCGUAAAACUCUGGUACUAGUGAAGCGGUACCUAAUCAGAAAGCUACGGCGAACUACGUGCCAGCAGCCGCGGUAAUAC